AAAAUCGGUAAAUUUCACCCAUAUUGUUGACAAAGCGACCUUACCCAUUUAUGAGUGAAUGAGAUUACUCAUAUUUGGGUGAAAAAACUGUCUUUGUGUUUGUUGUUUUUGUUGUCAAGUUGCAAACAUAAUCCAAGACUCCGAGAUCAAACCUGAAAACUGUUCCGUUCCGGGUCCGGCGGCUCGUGGACCAGUAAAUGUAUCAAAUAACCUUUCUUGCGAGUGGUGCCAGAGCGUCAUAUGCGACGGUGGAGCAUCCACAACGGACCCCAACCCAGCAGUGCAGCAGUCCUCCUUUAUCAUCUCUCCAUCUGUAGGGACGCAUCCUAUUUUCUACAACGGGUGCAUCCUAUUUUCCAUCACUGAGUAUAGCAUCAGGAGGCAACAACCUAAAUUCAUUCAUCGGAAACAUUCAAAUGCCCGGAGCAGCUUCGUUGAAGUCCAGCGUGUUCUGUUGCCUAUCCACCACAUUCAACGAAUUCAGCUGCAGUGGAGAGCUUGCACCUGUUAUGGAAUCCAGAAACCACACACCCUGUUAACAGAAAUAUAGUCCGCCGGAACGAAAUGACAUCCUGCUCAAGAGUACUCAAAAAUGUAUGGUCCACCUGAUUUGCAAGCCAGCGGUACCCACCCCAUCAACAACCUUCGGAUCGACUCUAUCAAAAUGGACGGAAACAGUCAUAGAACCAGAUUAUACCCACAUCCCAAGAUAGUGCUUGCAAUCUUCGUGGAUCGCACGCUUCUAUCUACUUCGGCAAUAUCCAAGGAAUCUGGCGAUGGGUAUAACUGCAGACACCCCAUUCGACGAUGACAACGAAGGUGGAAAUGGUACCACCAUAAAUUAUGUACACAGUUGUAUAUACUAAUGGACCUGAUGGUGGAACCGCGGAUACUGUGUCGAGCAGAAGCGGUCGAAUGGAAGUACAUCGUUUAGGGGGAAUAUGCCCAAACAAUCCUAAAGAUCGAUUACGUAAAGAGAUUGUUCUUCCGCCUCAAAGUAGAUCGUUCGAUAUUGGAUUCCAAAAGCAAUUAGCUCCAAUUGCCAACACUGGUACCUUGAAGCAUCUUGAACUGCGGAGGAGGGCUGCUAUGCACUGAACGAUACAUCGUUGGAGGCAGAGAACGACGUUUUGGCAGUGGUCACUGGAUGUGUCUUGGUAUUGCCGACCAGAUAUGGAUGCACCGGAAAGUAAUGAUUAUCGCGAUAGCGCGUUCGAGACCUCCGAGAUCUAAACGAUUUAGAUUUCUGAUUCGCACGGAAGAAACAGUCACCAUUUCAAUAAUUACAACGAUCAUUAACAUUUAUCUCAUCACGAUCGUCUUCGAGACGAGAAUGGGCAUAUGUAAUCCUUAAACUUUCGUCAAUACAGCAACCGGAAA